rnacentral:rRNA from 1 species
GACGAACCGUGCAAACGUUGUUCGGAAUCACUGGGCUUAAAGGGCGCGUAGGCGGGCCAGCAAGUCAGGGGUGAAAUCUUUCAGCUCAACUGGAAAAGGGCCUUUGAUACUGCUGGUCUCGAGGGAGGUAGGGGCAUGCGGAACUUCCGGUGGAGCGGUGAAAUGCGUAGAUAUCGGAAGGAACGCCGGUGGCGAAAGCGGCGUGCUGGACCUCUUCUGACGCUGAGGCGCGAAAGCUAGGGGAGCAAACGGG